UACGUAGGCGGCGAGCGUUGUCCGGAUUUAUUGGGUUUAAAGGGUGCGUAGGCGGCUUUGUAAGUCAGUGGUGAAAUACUCCAGCUUAACUGGAGGGGUGCCAUUGAUACUGCGGAGCUUGAGUACAGAUGAGGUAGGCGGAAUUGACGGUGUAGCGGUGAAAUGCAUAGAUAUCGUCAAGAACACCGAUAGCGAAGGCAGCUUACUGGGCUGUAACUGACGCUGAUGCACGAAAGUGUGGGGAUCAAACAGG
rnacentral:rRNA from 1 species